UUUUAUGAGAGUUUGAUCCUGGCUCAGGACGAACGCUGGCGGCGUGCCUAAUACAUGCAAGUCGAACGCUUCUUUUUCCACCGGAGCUUGCUCCACCGGAAAAAGAGGAGUGGCGAACGGGUGAGUAACACGUGGGUAACCUGCCCAUCAGAAGGGGAUAACACUUGGAAACAGGUGCUAAUACCGUAUAACAAUCGAAACCGCAUGGUUUUGAUUUGAAAGG
rnacentral:rRNA from 2 species